ACGAACGCUGGCGGCGUGCCUAAUACAUGCAAGUUGAGCGAUGAAGAUUGGUGCUUGCACCAAUUUGAAGAGCAGCGAACGGGUGAGUAACGCGUGGGGAAUCUGCCUUUGAGCGGGGGACAACAUUUGGAAACGAAUGCUAAUACCGCAUAACAACUUUAAACAUAAGUUUUAAGUUUGAAAGAUGCAAUUGCAUCACUCAAAGAUGAUCCCGCGUUGUAUUAGCUAGUUGGUGAGGUAAAGGCUCACCAAGGCGAUGAUACAUAGCCGACCUGAGAGGGUGAUCGGCCACAUUGGGACUGAGACACGGCCCAAACUCCUACGGGAGGCAGCAGUAGGGAAUCUUCGGAAAUGGACGAAAGUCUGACCGAGCAACGCCGCGUGAGUGAAGAAGGUUUUCGGAUCGUAAAACUCUGUUGGUAGAGAAGAACGUUGGUGAGAGUGGAAAGCUCAUCAAGUGACGGUAACUACACAGAAAGGGACGGCUAACUACGUG
rnacentral:rRNA from 1 species